UACAGGGGGUGCAAACGUUGCUCGGAAUUAUUGGGUGUAAAGCGCGCGUAGGCGGCCACUUAAGUCGGAUGUGAAAGCCCCUGGCUCAACUGGGGAAGUGCACCCGAAACUGAGUAGCUUGAGUGCAAAAGAGGGCCGCGGAAUUCCCGGUGUAGAGGUGAAAUUCGUAGAUAUCGGGAGGAACACCGGUGGCGAAGGCGGCGGCCUGGGUUGACACUGACGCUGAGGCGCGAAAGCGUGGGGAGCAAACAGG
rnacentral:rRNA from 1 species